rnacentral:rRNA from 1 species
UACGGAGGGGGCUAGCGUUGUUCGGAAUUACUGGGCGUAAAGCGCACGUAGGCGGAUUGGCCAGUUGGGGGUGAAAGCCCGAGGCUUAACCUCGGAACUGCCCUCAAUACUGCCAGUCUUGAGUCCGGGAGAGGUGAGUGGAAUUCCUAGUGUAGAGGUGAAAUUCGUAGAUAUUAGGAAGAACACCAGUGGCGAAGGCGGCUCACUGGCCCGGUACUGACGCUGAGGUGCGAAAGCGUGGGGAGCAAACAGG